rnacentral:lncRNA from 1 species
UUUCCUCAUCAUAAAGAUGCAGUAGCCAUAAUUAUUCCAAUCAUCCAAAAGAGAAGACUUUAAAGUACAGUAGUUAGCCAUCAAAAAGAGAAGGCUAAUAUCCAGUUAUGAGAGCAUUUUCCCAAGAUACUUCUCCCCUGGACCUUGUUCCCAGGCUCCGUGUGAAGCUGAACACUCCGCAUGAUCUCCCUGCCACCAUAGCAAGCUAUGAAGUUCAUUACACAUGCAGGUAGCAGACAAUACAGCUCUGCUUCCAUUUCUGAGCACCUACGGUAGACUGCCAUUAUUCAGUGUGCCAGCCUGUUUCCAAGCCUACAAUGUAUAGUUCCUCUAGUACGUAAACUCAUUUUUUUUCUCAGAGAGCCAAGUAGAGACACAGGCAGUUUUCUUCUCAAAAUGUGCCAGAAAUUCCAAAACAAUCUCAAAGCAUUAAAGGCUAUGUGCACA